rnacentral:snoRNA from 1 species
UUCCUCUCAGGGUCAUGCCUGGAGAGCUUCCAGUCCUCUACCAGUCUCAGCUAUGGGAGGGAGAGUCAAGCAGAGGCCUGUCCAUUCCAUUCCUAGCUUGGCCAGUGGCUAGCGAGUGGAAGGCCGUCUGCUACAAGU